rnacentral:lncRNA from 12 species
AACCACCAACUCCCUCAUUCUCUUCAAACUAAUCUGGUAAUCCAUCUUAAUCUUCUCAGGUUUAUGAGAAAUGAGAUCUUGCCACCCAAAUUACUGAGGACUACAGAAAUCACUAAUGAAGGAGAAGGACUUGAGUCUAGAAAUUUCUUAGUCCAAAGCCUAUUGUGGGCAACAAGGAAAAAACUUAUUUAAGAAAGGAGAAUGAGUUUGUUCCUAAGAAAGUGGCUUGAAAGACUGAAGUUACCAAGAGCAGAGAAUGAGGCACGUAGAAAACGUUGCCAUAACAUCACACUGUCUGUUUACUGGAAAGACGGCAUGAUUAAACACAUUAUAGAGUUAUAACUUGCCUGCUGUGUUAAUUUCUUGUGGCUGCCACAAAAAGUUAGCACAACCUUGGUAACUUAAAACAAUAGAAAUUUAUUUUCUCACAGUUCUAGAGGUCAGAAGUUCAAAAUCACGGUGUGGGCAUGUUCUGUGGAAGUUCUCCCAAAGACGUGGGGUGAAUCCUUUCCUUCAGUCUUCUAGCUUCUGGUGGCUACCAGCAUUCCUUGGAAUUCUUUGGCUUAUGGUUACAUUUCUCCAAUUGCUUCUUUGGUCUUCACAUCAUCUUCUCUGUAUGGCAAGUCUUCCCAUUCCUCUCUUUUAUACGGAUACAUGUGAUGGCAUUUAGAGCCUAUCCAUAUAAUCUAAAAUAAUCUCCCACACUAGGGAUGGAGAGGACACAGGUAAGGGGAAGAGAUACAUCUGCUUUUUCAAGCAAUAUAUUCUCCAUGCUCAAAUAGAAUGGCUUUUCAAACUUUCUAGAUUUCCGUGUCCAAGGAAAUCUUAGCCUUCAAUGUUUCAGCUCUCCCAUAAAUGUGCUUACUACAAUCCUGUCCCUAGAUUACUCAAAUUAACCUCACUUUUCACCGUUUUAUGCUUACUUGAAAAUAAUUGCUUGGUGAUUUUGACAACUAUAAAUUAGUAUUUACCAAAAUAUAUAAUGCAAUGAUAUAAAUACCUACUAUCUCAAAAGCAAAUGUGGCAUAAUAAAUACAUCUCCACAGAAAGGAGAGUGGAAACU